rnacentral:rRNA from 1 species
AUACGUAGGGAGCGAGCGUUGUCCGGAAUUACUGGGCGUAAAGGGCGCGUAGGCGGCGCUUCAAGUCGUCUGUCAAAUGGGAGGGCUUGACCCUUUUUCGCAGACGAAACUGGAGAGCUUGAGAAGCAGAGAGGCAAACAGAAUUCCUGGUGUAGCGGUGAAAUGCGUAGAUAUCAGGAAGAAUACCAGUGGCGAAGGCGGUUUGCUGGCUGCAUACUGACGCUGAAGCGCGAAAGCCAGGGGAGCAAACGGGAUUAGAUACCCCGGUAGUCCUGGCAGUAAACGAUGUAUGCUGGGUGUGAGACUAGCGAUAGUUUCGUGCCGAAGUUAACGCGAUAAGCAUACCGCCUGGGGAGUACGGUCGCAAGAUUGAAACUCAAAGGAAUUGACGGGG